rnacentral:rRNA from 1 species
GAUGAACGCUGGCGGCGUGCCUAAUACAUGCAAGUCGAACGAAACUUCUUUAUCACCGAGUGCUUGCACUCACCGAUAAAGAGUUGAGUGGCGAACGGGUGAGUAACACGUGGGCAACCUGCCCAAAAGAGGGGGAUAACACCUGGAAACAGGUGCUAAUACCGCAUAACCAUAGUUACCGCAUGGUAACUAUGUAAAAGGUGGCUAUACUACCGCUUUUGGAUGGGCCCGCGGCGCAUUAGCUAGUUGGUAGGGUAAAGGCUUACCAAGGCAAUGAUGCGUAGCCGAAUUGAGAGGUUGAUCGGCCACAUUGGGACUGAGACACGGCCCAAACUCCUACGGGAGGCAGCAGUAGGGAAUCUUCCACAAUGGGCGAAAGCCUGAUGGAGCAACGCCGCGUGGGUGAAGAAGGUCUUCGGAUCGUAAAACCCUGUUGUUAGAGAAGAAAGUGCGUGAGAGUAACUGUUCACGUUUCGACGGUAUCUAACCAGAAAGCCACGGCUAACUACGUG